GCUACUAAGAUUAUUCAAGUUACUUGGAAUUUUCUAAAAGUAAAUUAUGUCUUUGAAUUCUGUCGUUCAUAUUUGGAAUUUUUUAUCUGAUAAUGAAGAUUUCUGGGGCUGCAGUUAAGUUGCCAGAGUUAUUGGCUUAUGUAAACAUCGAGGAGGAAACACUGACCCGCUUGCAACAGAAACUGCUUGAUUUUCUUAAGUUUUUGCAGAAAAAUCAGAGUACAUUCUUCCUUUCAACCUACGAUAGCACGAAAGGUGUCGAAGGAAAGGGCAAGGGGAAAGAUGACUGAACAUCUAUCCCUAAAACUAAUCUGCCAUCAUCAGAUAUCGAAGUCCGGUGGCAAGUUCGAUGACCAUCUUAAUCCUUUUUGUUUUUGACUUAUGAACUCAAAAUCCAGGUAGAUAUAUCUUCCAAUUGUUGUACUAGUAGCAUUAGUUCAUU